rnacentral:rRNA from 1 species
UGCGCAGGCGGUCUUUUAAGUCAGUGGUGAAAGUUUGCAGCUUAACUGUAAAAUUGCCAUUGAUACUGGAAGACUUGAAUAUAGUAGAGGUAGGCGGAAUGUGUAGUGUAGCGGUGAAAUGCUUAGAGAUUACACAGAACACCGAUUGCGAAGGCAGCUUACUAUGCUAUCAUUGACGCUGAGGCACGAAAGCGUGGGGAGCGAACAGGAUUAGAUACCCUGGUAGUCC